rnacentral:rRNA from 1 species
GCGGAGGAAAAGAAACCAACAGGGAUUGCCCUAGUAACGGCGAGUGAAGCGGCAACAGCUCAAAUUUGAAAUCUGGCGCAAGCCCGAGUUGUAAUUUGUAGAGGAUGCUUCUAGGUAGCGACCGGUCUAAGUUCCUUGGAACAGGACGUCAUAGAGGGUGAGAAUCCCGUAUGUGACCGGCCCGCACCUUCUACGUAGCUCCUUCGACGAGUCGAGUUGUUUGGGAAUGCAGCUCUAAAUGGGAGGUAAAUUUCUUCUAAAGCUAAAUACCGGCCAGAGACCGAUAGCGCACAAGUAGAGUGAUCGAAAGAUGAAAAGCACUUUGGAAAGAGAGUUAAAAAGCACGUGAAAUUGUUGAAAGGGAAGCGCUCACAACCAGACUUCUGGGCGGUGUUCCGCCGGUCUUCUGACCGGUCUACUCGCCGUCCCGAGGCCAACAUCAUCUGGGACCGCUGGAUAAGACCUCAGGAAUGUAGCUUCCCUCGGGAAGUGUUAUAGCCUGUGGUGAUGCAGCGCGUCUCGGGUGAGGUCCGCGCUUCGGCAAGGAUGUUGGCGUAAUGGUUGUCAGCGGCCCGUCUUGAAACACGGACCAAGGAGUCUAACAUCUAUGCGAGUGUUCGGGUGUCAAACCCCUACGCGUAAUGAAAGUGAACGGAGGUGGGAAGCGUAAGCUGCACCAUCGACCGAUCCUGAUGUCCUCGGAUGGAUUUGAGUAAGAGCAUAGCUGUUGGGACCCGAAAGAUGGUGAACUAUGCCUGAAUAGGGUGAAGCCAGAGGAAACUCUGGUGGAGGCUCGCAGCGGUUCUGACGUGCAAAUCGAUCGUCAAAUUUGGGUAUAGGGGCGAAAGACUAAUCGAACCAU